GACGAACGCUGGCGGCGUGCCUAAUACAUGCAAGUAGAACGCUGAGGAGAGGAGCUUGCUCUUCUUGGAUGAGUUGCGAGCGGGUGAGUAACGCGUAGGUAACCUGCCUUGUAGCGGGGGAUAACUAUUGGAAACGAUAGCUAAUACCGCAUAACAAUGGAUGACACAUGUCAUUUAUUUGAAAGGGGCAAUUGUUCCACUACAAGAUGGACCUGCGUUGUAUUAGCUAGUAGGUGAGGUAAUGGCUCACCUAGGCGACGAUACAUAGCCGACCUGAGAGGGUGAUCGGCCACACUGGGACUGAGACACGGCCCAGACUCCUACGGGAGGCAGCAGUAGGGAAUCUUCGGCAAUGGGGGCAACCCUGACCGAGCAACGCCGCGUGAGUGAAGAAGGUUUUCGGAUCGUAAAGCUCUGUUGUAAGUCAAGAACGGGUGUGAGAGUGGAAAGUUCACACUGUGACGGUAGCUUACCAGAAAGGGACGGCUAACUACGUG
rnacentral:rRNA from 1 species